rnacentral:rRNA from 1 species
GGGGGUGCAAGCGUUGUCCGGAAUCAUUGGGCGUAAAGCGUUCGUAGGCGGCAUACCAAGUCUGGUGUUAAAGACCGGGGCUCAACUCCGGAUGGGCAUUGGAUACUGGUAAGCUAGAAUGUGGUAGAGGUAAAGGGAAUUCCUGGUGUAGCGGUGAAAUGCGUAGAUAUCAGGAGGAACACCGGUGGCGUAAGCGCUUUACUGGGCCAUAAUUGACGCUGAGGAACGAAAGCCGGGGGAGCAAA